GAUGAACGCUGGCGGCGUGCCUAAUACAUGCAAGUCGAGCGAACGGACGAGAAGCUUGCUUUUCUGAUGUUAGCGGCGGACGGGUGAGUAACACGUGGAUAACCUACCUAUAAGACUGGGAUAACUUCGGGAAACCGGAGCUAAUACCGGAUAAGAUUUUGAACCGCAUGGUUCAAAAGUGAAAGACGGUCUUGCUGUCACUUAUAGAUGGUUCCGCGCUGGAUUAGCUAGUUGGUAAGGUAACGGCUUACCAAGGCAACGAUGCAUAGCCGACCUGAGAGGGUGAUCGGCCACACUGGAACUGAGACACGGUCCAGACUCCUACGGGAGGCAGCAGUAGGGAAUCUUCCGCAAUGGGCGAAAGCCUGACGGAGCAACGCCGCGUGAGUGAUGAAGGUCUUCGGAUCGUAAAACUCUGUUAUUAGGGAAGAACAUAUGUGUAAGUAACUGUGAACAUCUUGACGGUACCUAAUCAGAAAGCCACGGCUAACUACGUG
rnacentral:rRNA from 1 species